CCGGUAAGGGGAGUGAAAUAGAUCCUGAACCGUAUGCAUACAAACAGUAGGAGCCUCCUUGUGGGGUGACUGCGUACCUUUUGUAUAAUGGGUCAGCGACUUACAUUCAGUGGCAAGGUUAACCGAAUAGGGAAGCCGUAGCGAAAGCGAGUCCGAAUAGGGCGAUUCAGUCGCUGGGUGUAGACCCGAAACCAGAUGAUCUAUCCAUGGCCAGGUUGAAGGCACGGUAACACGUGCUGGAGGACCGAACCCACUAAUGUUGAAAAAUUAGGGGAUGAGCUGUGGAUAGGGGUGAAAGGCUAAACAAAUCUGGAAAUAGCUGGUUCUCUCCGAAAACUAUUUAGGUAGUGCCUCAAGUAUUACUGCGGGGGGUAGAGCACUGUUAUAGCUAGGGGGUCAUGGCGACUUACCAAACUAUGGCAAACUCCGAAUACCCGCAAGUACAGCUUGGGAGACAGAGCACCGGGUGCUAACGUCCGGACUCAAGAGGGAAACAACCCAGACCGCCAGCUAAGGUCCCGAAUUAUCGCUAAGUGGGAAACGAAGUGGGAAGGCAAGCA
rnacentral:rRNA from 1 species